GACGAACGCUGGCGGCGUGCUUAACACAUGCAAGUCGAACGGAAAGGCCCUGCUUUUGUGGUGUGCUCGAGUGGCGAACGGGUGAGUAACACGUGAGUAACCUGCCCUUGACUUUGGGAUAACUUCAGGAAACUGGGGCUAAUACCGGAUAGGAGCUCCUGCUGCAUGGUGGGGGUUGGAAAGUUUCGGCGGUUGGGGAUGGACUCGCGGCUUAUCAGCUUGUUGGUGGGGUAGUGGCUUACCAAGGCUUGGACGGGUAGCCGGCCUGAGAGGGUGACCGGCCACAUUGGGACUGAGAUAGGGCCCAGAGUCCUACGGGAGGCAGCAGUGGGGAAUAUUGCACAAUGGGCGGAAGCCUGAUGCAGCAACGCCGCGUGCGGGAUGACGGCCUUCGGGUUGUAAACCGCUUUCGCCUGUGACGAAGCGUGAGUGACGGUAAUGGGUAAAGAAGCACCGGCUAACUACGUG
rnacentral:rRNA from 1 species